rnacentral:tRNA from 1 species
UCCCUGGUGGUCCAGCGGCUGAGACUCUGCGUUCCCAAUGCAGGAGGCCCGGGUUCCAUCCCUGGUUGGGGAA